GAAGUGGAGAACCUGACCUCCGACGCCCCUGCUGCAGCCCUAGGGGCGCGUGGACUGCCGUGCGGCCGCCCUCCCUUCUGGCUCUUGGGGCCCAUUCUCCCUCCACUGGCCCCGGUCUGGGGUGUCGUUGUGGAUCUAGCUAGGAAGAAGCCCUCGGUUUGCACAUGAGUUCAUAUGUCCUGCUUCCCCAACCAGAAAUACCAGUUUGGAUCCCUGAUAGAUAUGUUCAUCUGCAUUGAGGAGAGGGUUCCUGCUUAAGUAAUCCUAUUUUACCCUUAAAUAUACAGUAUACCGAUGUGCACUCUUCAGCCAAGGGAAAAGUUUGGAACUGGUACUGCCUUGUCUUGAGGCCGUUAGAAAUGCGCUUCCCUCUCCCCCUACCACAUUGGUUUCCAGUUAAAUUUCUUUUAAAAAAAACACACACACACAAAAACCCCACAAAAAACAGUUGUUAGUGCAGUUCAACCUGUUUGUGUGUCUGAUUUCUUCCCUGGGUGGCCAAAAUCCCUCUUUCAGGUCACAACGGAGAGUUUGGGUCCGUUUGAAGCUCGGAGCUUUACGAGGAUAUUUGCUUUAAAAAACGGCCUGUGUUCUCUGUGAUUUGCAUGUCUCAAUCCCCUUCCCUGCUGGGUAGAAGUUCAGCUGCCCUUACAUUUUAAAUAAGCUAAAGCAAUGUAUUCCCAAAAUGCUUUGGGGCUGCCACCAAACAGAAUCGGGGAUAGUAACACUGUGGCUUUCACGCUAACAUUUAAAUCUUGACUUGAUAAGUGUAAAUAUUAAGAACAUUGGAGUUCUCCAAGGUCCCAGAAGAGCUUUGGCAAAAAGCUGAAGAUCAAAAAGAAUUUAUUUCGAGGCACAGUGUCACUCAAAUACGCAUUCUGGCAAAAGCUACAAAGAAAUUGGGAUGAGGGAUAUUUUGUAACUUAUAUAAGGACCCAGUUCCUGUCAAUCAAUCCCUCAAGUGCAGAAUAGGAAAGGACAGUUUAAAUAGGGAGGGAAAUUUAACUCUUACAUUUUUGGAGUUGGUUUUAAAGCCCCACUGUUCUCCUUCGGGCUGUUGUAUUACCCUGGUUAUAAUCACCAGCUGGUAGGGGAAAUAAAAUUGAAGUGUAAAUUGAUUUUGUUGUCAUUAGGGCUUGGGAGAAGACAUAUGUGACAAAAUUUAAAUAUAGAGGGCGCAGGCUGAAAAACCAUUGUAUGGUUAAAACAGGCACCGUUCUCUGCCAGCUUAGAAUGUUAGGAAUACCUUGCCAAUUGAACAGCUAGUCUUAACUCCAAAUUCUUUCAGGUCACCAUUUGGCAUUUACUUCUAUCCUAAGCCACAUUAGCAUAUGGAGCCUGGGCUCCAACCAGUGUUAAGCCUGUAUUACAGAGCUGUAAACAACUCCUGUUUUUCAAGUCUGUUCUGUCGGCCUUACUGUAACCUAACACAGUAUCUAUUUUAAGAUGUCUGGUGGUCGGUUGUCUUUCAGUCGCUUGCCCAUCAGGCAGGAAUGGAAUCCACCCUAGGCACUUGAGUCAUUUCCUUUUCACCAAAUCAUAAUAGUAUGGCUUUUGCCCACAAAUAGAUCAUCUUGGCUCCCUCAAAGUAACCCCACCUUUACCUCCCAGGAUUCUCCGCUGGCACUCAUCUUCCCUUCCUCCCUCUCCUUGUUCCGGUCUCCACCUCGCUCUUCUUAUUUACCUUCUCCAUUCUCACCCUUCACUUAAAAGGAAUAUAUAUAUAUAUUUAUGUUCCUGGCUAUUCUUUCCUGUCACUGUGUGUCCAAACCACUGAUCUCCAUACUUUUUUUUUUUUUUAUCAUGUAUCCCUCUUGAGUAAAAUGUUUUGAAACGUAAUCUUUGUGAUGUAUGUAAAACAUAAAAUAACUUCUGUACCCAAACUAAUGUUAUAAAUGCAUGUAUAUUGUGUAUGUGAUAGCUGUAAACAUCAGUUACAUACACAUGAAGUAAUACGUUCUGUGCCUGUUUAUAAUGUACAGAAUAGAAUUUAAAGAAGGAUACAAAUGAAAUGGAAAUUCUAA